UUGGAUUUGUUGUAUUUGACAACGAACAAGUUGUUGAUACUAUUCUGGCCAAUGGAAAUAUGAUUGAUAUGGAAGGCUCACAGAUGAGGGAGCAGAAACGGGCUGCUCUUUUGAAACAAAAAAGGGCCUCUAGUGGAUUGACAAGCCCUCCCCGUGUCAUUGGAAAGCUUUGGUUUCUCCAAUUGAGAGAUAUGCAGUUGUUCCUGAUGACAACGCAAGUGUUCUUUCCACAGUCUUCAUUGUCUUCAUUACUGGUGUUUAAAUAGUUGGUUUCUCCCAAAGAUUAUAAUUUGCAACUGUUCUC